GAACUGCUUCAUGCUGAGCAACUUUGGCAUCUGUGCAGCUCCUCGGUCUUGUCAGGCAGUGGGAAGCUGAGCAACCUUUUUGGAGAAAACCACCAGGCAGUACCUGCUCCCUACACAGAGCAAUAUCACCUGAUGGAUCCAAGGGCUGCACAGAGCUCUCCAGGGAAAAACUACCUGCUGCAAUUCAGACUGCUACUAACUGAGCGGAUUCAAGGCCACAUUGUUCCCGCCCUCCACUCAAGCGACCUAUCUACAAAACAGCUGAAUUAAUAACAAAAAUAAAAGGAGAAAGACAUCCCA
rnacentral:lncRNA from 1 species